ACGUAGGAGGCGAGCGUUAUCCGGAUUUACUGGGUGUAAAGCGCGUGCAGGCGGUUUAGCAAGUCGUGCGUGAAAGCGCCCAGGCUUAACCGGGCGAGGACAAUGAAGACUGGUCAGCUAGAGGACGGUAGAGGGGUGUGGAAUUCCGGGUGUAGUGGUGAAAUGCGUAGAGAUCCGGAGGAACACCAGUGGCGAAGGCGACGCGCUGGGCCUGACCUGACGCUAAGACGCGAGAGCAUGGGGAGCGAACGG
rnacentral:rRNA from 1 species